AAAGCUAAGCCGCGAGGUGGAGCAAAACCCAAAAAAAGACAGUCUCAGUUCGGAUUGAAGGCUGAAAUUCGCCUUCAUGAAGCCGGAAUUGCUAGUAAUGGCAGGUCAGCAUACUGCCGUGAAUACGUUCCCGGGCCUUGUACACACCGCCCGUCACACCAUGAGAGUUGGGGAUACCCGAAGCCUGUGAGCUAACUUUUAGAGGCAGCAGUCGAAGGUAGAAUCAAUGAUUGGGGUGAAGUCGUAACAAGGUAUC
rnacentral:rRNA from 1 species